GAUGAACGCUGGCGGCGUGCCUAAUACAUGCAAGUCGAGCGAACAGAUGAGGAGCUUGCUCCUCUGACGUUAGCGGCGGACGGGUGAGUAACACGUGGAUAACCUACCUAUAAGACUGGGAUAACUUCGGGAAACCGGAGCUAAUACCGGAUAAUAUAUUGAACCGCAUGGUUCAAUAGUGAAAGACGGUUUUGCUGUCACUUAUAGAUGGAUCCGCGCCGCAUUAGCUAGUUGGUAAGGUAACGGCUUACCAAGGCAACGAUGCGUAGCCGACCUGAGAGGGUGACCGCCCACACGGAAACUGAGACACGCUCCAGACUCCGACGGGAGGCAGCAGUAGGGAAUCUUCCGCAAUGGGCGAAAGCCGGACGGAGCAACGCCGCGUGAGUGAUGAAGGUCUUCGGAUCGUAAAACUCUUUUAUUAGGGAAAAACAAAUGUGUAAGUAACUGUGCACAUCUUGACGGUACCUAAUCAGAAAGCCACGGCUAACUACGUG
rnacentral:rRNA from 1 species